AGUAAGAAAAUUUGUUUACUUCUUUCAGGAGUCUUAUGCCGUGAAGCCUAGCAAAUGAUAAACGCGAGAAAAGGAAAUCCCAGGAUCACCUGACGAUCCUCCCACCUACGGCCUCCUUCCGCGUAGGCAGAGAGCAGCUGACUUGGACCAGGAGCCUGACCUGCAGGAAACCUUCAGUCCACAUGCUGUGACAGCUUGCAAAGUCAAACUGGGAGAACCGCUGGAUGUCAAAGGGCACCUGGGACAGAGAUACUAGUUGGAUAUCCAUCACAUCCAUUCUCUUCCUUCCCACAUUUUAGCUGAGCACAUAGCUGCCCAGAAUAAAGACAGUAUGUGCAGCCUUCCUUACAGGCUCAGAGGUGCCCAUGACAGCUGGAGCCUACUUGGCCUCCCGGAGCAGGAGGGCUUGGGGACUGGAAACCGUGCCCGUUGGAGACAGGGGAGCCGGGGUCCUGACAUGGGCGCAUGGUGCUGCGGGAUCCCUGACAGUAAGAGAAACGAGCUUUCGUACUGUGGCUGAACCUGCUCUUAACCAGCUCGGUACUUUGUUUCGUGGUCCAAGCCAAUGCCACGUGCUGGAGUUCUUCUGGGAGGAGUCAGUCUGCAGGGAGAAGUCCGACGGGGAAAUAGACAAGCACUGAGCUGGAUGACUUUGCUGUGUCCUAACUGUGUUUGGGGCUGCCCCAAAGGAUGACAGCUGCUUUCCCAAGCAAAGGUGUUGGCACGGAUGGAAGGACCCAACUGGACUGAGAAACACAUCCAUUCUGUGAACAUGACAGAGUCAGAGAAGAAGACCCAGGGCAGCGGGGAUUCUGCGUGGGCAGAGGGGUCCGAGAGCCCCGUGGCGGACAGCUGGCCAGUGAGAACGGCUGAGGACAGAGAGUGCCAACCUGGAGCAGGUGACAGGAAAAACCCGGGCUCCAAUUUGAAAAUGUGUUUCCAGGCCUUUGGAACUGGCUCUCUGCUCAGGAUUUAUCAAGCACUUUCCUGUGCACACCAUUGGGAGGUCCCAAGUACAGUGAGAUUCAACUGCUCUGGAUCAAUAAACUUGAAAAAUUACAGCAGAACAACUCAUCCGAGGUCACAUUACUCCUGUGUCUGAGCCCAGGCUGUUCAGGGGAAGACGGGACCAAGUGAUUUUCUCUUAAUUUUCCCUGGAAGCAUAAGAAGUAAGGACUCCUGUCCUGGCAUGCUGGUGUCUGGGAAGUUCAUCCUCGUUGCUGCAUGUAUCUGGGACUCAUUUCUUUAUAUUGCUGAGAAGGAUUCCAUCCUUGUGUCCAGAGGAAAAUGGAAUCUUUGAAAGUCUUCAAGAGACAAUGGAAGUAACCACCUGUUUUCUCAGCUGGGAUUUAUGCCAAGAACGUAGAAAAGACUGUGUCUGGAGAACGUGGGUGGAUUCACAUGAAGAUGCUGUUCAGACUCUCAACAAACCUCCUCUAAGAGCGAUAUAUGCCCAGGACUGGGAUUGCUGGAUCAUAGGGGAGUAAGAAUAGAAACCACAGCGUCAGGACUGUCUGGGAGGUGCUGUGAAAAGCAGCGGCGAGGAAACCAAGCCUGUCAUCCAGCGGAAAUGCCCGGUGAGCCCCUCAGGUGACUUAGAGCGUUCUGGCAACCAUGCUAAAAAGUUUUAUACAUCAAGACGGCUUGGCAUAGUUCACUCAGUGCAAACAUCAGAAUAUGGACAGAAGAUACGGCUGGGCCCAGGCAGAGAAAUGAAACUUGUGGACGUGUCCUGCUUGGGGAGGAAAAACAGCGUUAGUUGCUCUGCCAACUAAUAUAAUAAAAAGGGCAAGGAGGAUUAUAAAAAAGGGCAGGAAGGAAAGGAUUAGGUUUAUAGAAGCACAAACAAUUGUACUAAGAAAGCCCAUAGAAAAUCCUCCCAAUUCAUCAGUUAUUUUUCAGAUUAUUAAAGCAAAAACAUCCUCAUUAUAGAAAAGUAAGAAGGAAAUACAGUUACCUCAAAUUCCACAAUAGGACAAAUAACUUAAAAACAAGUAGCCUUAUUAAGCUAAAAUUCAUACAGCACUCAGUUAAAGGAUAGGAUUUUAUGGUUUCAUAGAGUCGUGCAGCCAUCACACAUUGUCUUCAGAACAUUCUGGUCCCCACCUGCACCGGUUAGUAAUCGGUGCCCUUCUCCCAGCCCCACGCAACCACUAAUCCACUGGCUCCAUAGACCUGCCUGCUCUGGCAUUUCAUGUGAUGAAGUCACACGUGGACUUCCGUGUCUGACUGUGCUUCACUCAGCACAGGGUCUCCAAGGUUUGCCCACACUGUGGGAUGUGUCAACAUCUCAAAUUCCUUUUUACGGCAGAUAGGCCACUGUGUGGACAAACCAUGUUCUGCUGACCCACUCAUCAGUUAAUGGACAUCUAGGAUGUUUCAGCUUUUCAGCUGUUAGAAAACUGAGUAGAAUUUGGGAGAAGAUGUGGUGAAUCCGUUCAAGAUGUAGCUCACCU